rnacentral:rRNA from 1 species
UACAGAGGUCCCAAGCGUUGUUCGGAUUCAUUGGGCGUAAAGGGUGCGUAGGCGGCGCGGUAAGUCGGGUGUGAAAUCUCGGGGCUUAACUCCGAAACUGCAUACGAUACUGCCGUGCUUGAGGACUGGAGAGGAGACUGGAAUUUACGGUGUAGCGGUGAAAUGCGUAGAUAUCGUAAGGAAGACCAGUGGCGAAGGCGGGUCUCUGGACAGUUCCUGACGCUGAGGCACGAAGGCCAGGGGAGCAAACGGG